rnacentral:rRNA from 1 species
UACGUAGGCAGCAAGCGUUGUUCGGAGUUACUGGGCGUAAAGGGUGCGUAGGCGGUCCUAUAAGUAUGGUGUGAAAUCUCCCGGCUUAACUGGGAGGGUGCGCUAUAGACUGUGGGACUAGAGUGUGGGAGAGGAAAGUGGAAUUCCUGGUGUAGCGGUGAAAUGCGUAGAGAUCAUGAGGAAGACCAGUGGCGAAGGCGGGUCUCUGGACAGUUCCUGACACUGAGACACGAAGGCCAGGGGAGCAAACGGG